AGAGUUUGAUCCUGGCUCAGAAGGAACGCUGGCAGCGUGCAUAACACAUGCAAGUCGAACGGGAUUAUUAUCUUCGGAUGAUAUGAGAGUGGCGAACGGGUGAGUAACACGUAAGAAUCUACCUUUAGGACGGGGAUAACUUCUGGAAACGGAUGCUAAUACCCGAUAUGCUGUGGAGUGAAAGGAAUUUCGCCUAAAGAUGAUCUUGCGUCUGAUUAGCUAGAUAGUGUGGUAAUGGCGCACUAUGGCGACGAUCAGUAGCUGGUCUGAGAGGAUGGACAGCCACAUUGGAACUGAGACACGGUCCAAACUCCUACGGGAGGCAGCAGUGGGGAAUUUUCCGCAAUGGGCGAAAGCCUGACGGAGCGACGCUGCGUGAAGGAUGACGGCCUGCGGGUUGUAAACUUCUUUUCUCGAAGAAGAAUAAAUGACGGUAUUCGAGGAAUAAGCAUCGGCUAACUCUGUGCCAGCAGCCGCGGUAAGACAGAGGAUGCAAGUGUUAUUCGGAUUGAUUGGGCGUAAAGCGUCUGUAGGCGGUUUGGAAAGUCUUUUGUGAAAUUCUUCAGCUCAACUGGGGGUCCGCAAAAGAA
rnacentral:rRNA from 1 species